GGAACGAACGCUGGCGGCGUGCCUAAUACAGUGCAAGGUCGAGCGGACCGGGAUUGGGGCUUGCCGUUCGAGUUCGGUCAGCGGCGGAACGGGUGAGUAACACGUGGGCAACCUGCCCGCAAGACCGGGAUAACUCCGGGAAACCGGAGCUAAUACCGGAUAACACCGAAGGCCGCAUGGUCUUCGGUUGAAAGGCGGCCUUUGGGCUGUCACUUGCGGAUGGGCCCGCGGCGCAUUAGCUAGUUGGUGAGGUAACGGCUCACCAAGGGCGACGAUGCGUAGCCGGCCUGAGAGGGUGACCGGCCACACUGGGACUGAGACACGGCCCAGACUCCUACGGGGGGCAGCAGUAGGGAAUCUUCCGCAAUGGGCGAAAGCCUGACGGAGCGACGCCGCGUGAGCGAAGAAGGCCUUCGGGUCGUAAAGCUCUGUUGUGAGGGACGAAGGAGCGCCGUUCGAAGAGGGCGGCGCGGUGACGGUACCUCACGAGAAAGCCCCGGCUAACUACGUG
rnacentral:rRNA from 1 species